GAUGAACGCUGGCGGCGUGCCUAAUACAUGCAAGUCGAGCGAACGGACGAGAAGCUUGCUUCUCUGACGUUAGCGGCGGAGGGGUGAGUAACACGUGGAUCACCUACCUAUAAGACUGGGAAAACUUCGGGACACCGGAGCUAAUACCGGAUAAUAUCUUGAACCGCAUGGUUCAAAAGUGAAAGACGGUCUUGCUGUCACGUAUAGAUGGAUACGCGCUGCAUUAGCUAGUUGGUAAGGUAACGGCUUACCAAGGCAACGAUGCAUUGCCGAGCUGAGAGAGGGGUAGGCCACCUGGGAACUGAGACACGGUCCAUACUCCUACGGUACGCAGCAGUAGGGUAUCGGCCGCAACGGGCGAAAGCCUGACGGAGCAACGCGGAGUGAGUGAUGAAGAUCUUCGGAGCGUAAAACUCUGUUAUGAGGGAAGAACAGAUUUGGAAGUAACUGUGCACAUCUUGACGGUACCGAAUCAGAAAGCCACGGCUAACUACGUG
rnacentral:rRNA from 1 species